rnacentral:rRNA from 1 species
AAUCCGGAAAAUCAAGGCUGAGGCGUGAUGACGAGGCACUACGGUGCUGAAGCGACAAAUGCCCUGCUUCCAGGAAAAGCCUCUAAGCAUCAGGUAACAUCAAAUCGUACCCCAAACCGACACAGGUGGUCAGGUAGAGAAUACCAAGGCGCUUGAGAGAACUCGGGUGAAGGAACUAGGCAAAAUGGUGCCGUAACUUCGGGAGAAGGCACGCUGAUAUGUAGGUGAAGCGACUUGCUCGUGGAGCUGAAAUCAGUCGAAGAUACCAGCUGGCUGCAACUGUUUAUUAAAAACACAGCACUGUGCAAACACGAAAGUGGACGUAUACGGUGUGACGCCUGCCCGGUGCCGGAAGGUUAAUUGAUGGGGUUAGCGGUAACGCGAAGCUCUUGAUCGAAGCCCCGGUAAACGGCGGCCGUAACUAUAACGGUCCUAAGGUAGCGAAAUUCCUUGUCGGGUAAGUUCCGACCUGCACGAAUGGCGUAAUGAUGGCCAGGCUGUCUCCACCCGAGACUCAGUGAAAUUGAACUCGCUGUGAAGAUGCAGUGUACCCGCGGCAAGACGGAAAGACCCCGUGAACCUUUACUAUAGCUUGACACUGAACAUUGAGCCUUGAUGUGUAGGAUAGGUGGGAGGCUUUGAAGUGUGGACGCCAGUCUGCAUGGAGCCGACCUUGAAAUACCACCCUUUAAUGUUUGAUGUUCUAACGUGGGCCCCUUACCGGGGUUGCGGACAGUGUCUGGUGGGUAGUUUGACUGGGGCGGUCUCCUCCUAAAGAGUAACGGAGGAGCACGAAGGUUGGCUAAUCCUGGUCGGACAUCAGGAGGUUAGUGCAAUGGCAUAAGCCAGCUUGACUGCGAGCGUGACGGCGCGAGCAGGUGCGAAAGCAGGUCAUAGUGAUCCGGUGGUUCUGAAUGGAAGGGCCAUCGCUCAACGGAUAAAAGGUACUCCGGGGAUAACAGGCUGAUACCGCCCAAGAGUUCAUAUCGACGGCGGUGUUUGGCACCUCGAUGUCGGCUCAUCACAUCCUGGGGCUGAAGUAGGUCCCAAGGGUAUGGCUGUUCGCCAUUUAAAGUGGUACGCGAGCUGGGUUUAGAACGUCGUGAGACAGUUCGGUCCCUAUCUGCCGUGGGCGCUGGAGAACUGAGGGGGGCUGCUCCUAGUACGAGAGGACCGGAGUGGACGCAUCACUGGUGUUCGGGUUGUCAUGCCAAUGGCACUGCCCGGUAGCUAAAUGCGGAAGAGAUAAGUGCUGAAAGCAUCUAAGCACGAAACUUGCCCCGAGAUGAGUUCUCCCUGACUCCUUGAGAGUCCUGAAGGAACGUUGAAGACGACGACGUUGAUAGGCCGGGUGUGUAAGCGCAGCGAUGCGUUGAGCUAACCGGUACUAAUGAACCGUGAGGCUUAACCUU